rnacentral:rRNA from 1 species
CCCACAAGGCCUUUACUGACGCUAAAGCUCGAAGGUGCGGGUAUCGAACAGGAUUAGAUACCCUGGUAGUCCGCACGGUAAACGAUGGAUGCCCGCUGUUUGCGAUAUAGUGUGAGCGGCCAAGAGAAAUCGUUAAGCAUCCCACCUGGGGAGUACGCCGGCAACGGUGAAACUCAAAGGAAUUGACGGGGGCCCGCACAAGCGGAGGAACAUGUGGUUUAAUUCGAUGAUACGCGAGGAACCUUACCCGGGCUUGAACUGCAGGGGAACGAUCCAGAGAUGGUGAGGUCAGCAAUGACCCCUGUGGAGGUGCUGCAUGGUUGUCGUCAGCUCGUGCCGUGAGGUGUCGGCUUAAGUGCCAUAACGAGCGCAACCCCUUUCAUUAGUUGCCAUCACUUCGGGUGGGCACUCUGGUGAUACUGCCACCGUAAGGUGUGAGGAAGGUGGGGAUGACGUCAAAUCAGCACGGCCCUUACGUCCGGGGCUACACACGUGUUACAAUGGGUGAUACAGAGGGCCGGUGCAUGGCAAUGUGCAUCAAAUCUUAAAAGUCAUCCUCAGUUCGGAUUGGGGUCUGCAACCCGACCCCAUGAAGCUGGAU